AAUUAGCACAUUUUUAUUUUUGUUUUUUCUUGGGAGGGAGGAGGAGGGAGAUAAGAACUGCAGAACUCUCCGUUGUUUUUAUAAAGAAUUUUGGAAAUAUAAAAAAUGCCACUGGAACUUUAUGUGUUUUUUUCAUAUUAACAGAAUGUUGUGCCAGCUUCAUAGAUUCGACAUACAGGGUGUAUAACGUUUAGCUUAAUUAAUGGAUAAUUCAAUGUUACAGAUAUUCCUUAGUAUGCCAACAUCCAUCGUCGCCGAAUUAUUAUAAAAUAUACGAACCGCAGCCGAUUCGUGGCGUUGCGCGUUUGUUUCGGGUGUUCCGUUUAAAGUAACUGGACUUAAUUAGUCUACGGGCGUAAUUUUAGUGUGUUAUUCGCGAGUGUUCCGCGAGUGCAACAAAAGGAGGCUUAACAAUUUAAGAGUAGGUCUGUGAAGCAUCGUGCAUUGACGUACCAAGCUUUCGAUUAACAUCACAGAAUCUAGGAGGUGCAGGAAGCUUGAGAGAAGCAUCGGGCCUCAGCGGAGCAACCUUGGGUAUCAUCGCAGCUUCGUAGCUGAUUAACUCCGCUCGUUGCGCAUCGGAAUGG